rnacentral:lncRNA from 1 species
AGCCACUGCACUUGAUUCUUCAAGGAGAAAGUCCGUUUUUAAUCUGCUUACAGGGAAGCCACCUCUAAGUAGUCAUCUUAAUGGUCCGGAAAAUAGAGGGGGCUUGCACUUAUCUGCAUCCGCUGCUGCUAGCCCAUUGUUAUCGGAUACUAACAUGAAGAAUGUGAAUGGUGAGUUAGUUAAGCAUCAAAUGAAGGCAUCAGGACUGAAAUCAAGGUCCCAAGAUUCCAUGAGCAGAGCUGGGUUCGAGAUGAAGGAGAAAGGUAAAUUUGCCCUGUCAGAAGAAGAAAAGGCAGCAUUAGCUGCAGCUGAG